GUAGUGGUGGCUGAGUGGCAAAGCCCUUGGCUUCCAAACCAGAGUACCAGGUUCGAAUCCUGGUGAAGACU
rnacentral:tRNA from 1 species